rnacentral:rRNA from 1 species
UACGGAGGGUGCAAGCGUUAUCCGGAUUCACUGGGUUGAAAGGGUGCGUAGGUGGGCAGGUAAGUCAGUGGUGAAAUCUUUGGGCUUAACCCGAAAACUGCCAUUGAUACUAUUUGUCUUGAAUACUGUGGAGGUCAGCGGAAUAUGUCAUGUAGCGGUGAAAUGCUUAGAUAUGACAUAGAACACCAAUUGCGAAGGCAGCUGGCUACACAAAUAUUGACACUGAGGCACGAAAGCGUGGGGAUCAAACAGG